UUUCCGUAGGUGAACCUGCGGAAGGAUCAUUACAGAGUUCAUGCGCGAAUGGGUUGACCUCCCACACUUGUGUCUUAUUACUUUGUUGCUUUGGCCGGCGCAUGCUCGCCCGAGAGUACCAAAACUCUUUUUAUUAAUGUCGGCUGAGUACUAUAUAAUAGUUAAAACUUUCAACAACGGACCUCUUGGUUCUG
rnacentral:misc_RNA from 1 species